rnacentral:rRNA from 1 species
UACAGAGGGUGCGAGCGUUGUCCGGAAUCACUGGGCGUAAAGGGCGCGUAGGCGGUCUGCUAAGCGUGUGGUGAAAGCCCGGGGCUCAACCCCGGGUCGGCCGUGCGAACUGGUGGACUGGAGCUUGUCAGAGGCAGGCGGAAUUCCGGGUGUAGCGGUGGAAUGCGUAGAGAUCCGGAAGAACACCGGUGGCGAAGGCGGCCUGCUGGGACAGUGCUGACGCUGAAGCGCGACAGCGUGGGGAGCAAACAGG